CUUAAAACAGACGUCUGAUCAAGCUGGCAGACACGUACCGUUCACAGGACACACGUGUACUGUGCAAUUGCUAUGCGCACGGUUCUGAACAAAGAACCAAAAGGCUCAAAUGGGAGUUGAAAUGGACCUGGCAGGAGAAUUCUGAAGCCAUUAUCUUGAAAUACUUCCCUUAAAAUGGAAAAGGAAUGAAAGAUUAUAGUUGGAAUUGGAAGACAUAAUCAUUCCUGAAAACCCCACCAGAGUGUGUUCAUUUAGCAAGCAGUGCUUGAAAACCUCUUAACGCUUUGUGGAAGAAACAGAAGAAAAAACCCUGCAGGUUCUUUGGAGUUUAGUGAUGGACAAAAGACACAUACCCUAAGGCAUCUGAUGAACACGCCAGAGGCACAGAGACAGUGUCGUGGGCAUCUAGAUGGGAGUGAAAUCCCUCUUAUCAGAGGUUUCAAACUGGAAGGAAUCCAGGAGCCGAUCCACGCAGCAGUUCCGGAACCUGAUGUCUUAUGUGUCUGCUGCACUUCUCUUAAUCUUCCUAGAUCUUUUUCAGUCAACUUGAAGCUUAUCCAAUAUUUUAAAAUCAGAUUUAAAAAUCACUCAUAAUAUUAAAGCAUUGUAAAAUAAUUUCUUCAGGAACUAGUUUAUAGGAAGAGAAGGAAAAAUCCAAGA